rnacentral:lncRNA from 1 species
CGGCAGCAGGGCAAGAUCAUGCCUGCUGCUGACCUUACCUGACCUUACCUUCUCAGUUUUCCGUACAUGUGCUGCAUGACACAUUACAUGACCUUUCUACCUGAUAGCCAGCUACGCCUCAUGUCCUGGACCAACCCAAAAAAUACGCAUGUGCACUUGUGCAUGCGACGCACAUGCAUGCGCGUGCACGAUACAUGUGCAUGUAAGGAC